rnacentral:rRNA from 1 species
UACGUAGGGGGCAAGCGUUGUCCGGAUUUACUGGGCGUAAAGAGCGUGUAGGCGGCCAAGCAGGUCCGUUGUGAAAACUGGAGGCUUAACCUCCAGACGUCGACGGAAACCGCGUGGCUAGAGUCCGGAAGAGGAGAGUGGAAUUCCUGGUGUAGCGGUGAAAUGCGCAGAUAUCAGGAAGAACACCAAUGGCGAAGGCAGCUCGCUGGGACGUUACUGACGCUGAGACGCGAAAGCGUGGGGAGCAAACAGG